ACCUAGCCCUGAUAGAAGCGGAAAUCCUUUUAUCCGCCGCAGCGGAUAAAAGAUUGAAACGUCCCGAAGCUUCGGGAGCAGGAAAUAGC
rnacentral:sRNA from 4 species